rnacentral:lncRNA from 1 species
GCUUAAUUGUUCGGCCACUUCAAGGUAUUUUCUGACAUUGUCACAGUUGAGAAAGUUAUUGGAAAUGUUGAGAUGAUGCUGUGGAUGAAAUUUGGUGGCCGGAGGAGGAGUUGGCCGCCGCAUGAACAGUGUCACCGCAUGAAUAGUGCAAUGGUGAAUAGUGCGGUUUGAAUAUGUGAUUUUGGUUGGAAUUGGAGAAGUUUUUAAUUGAUUAUGAAUUUCUGGGAAUUUAGGAUUUCGAUUAU